rnacentral:rRNA from 1 species
UACGAAGGGGGCUAGCGUUGUUCGGAAUUACUGGGCGUAAAGCGCACGUAGGCGGGUUUGUAAGUAGGGGGGUGAAAUCCCAGGGCUCAACCCUGGAACUGCCUUCUAAACUGCAAGCCUGGAGGUCAGGAGAGGCGAGUGGAAUACCGAGCGUAGAGGUGAAAUUCGUAGAUAUUCGGUGGAACACCAGUGGCGAAGGCGACUCGCUGGACUGAUACUGACGCUGAGGUGCGAAAGCGUGGGGAGCGAACCGG